GACGAACGCUGGCGGCGUGCUUAACACAUGCAAGUCGUACGGUAAGGCCCUUUCGGGGGUACACGAGUGGCGAACGGGUGAGUAACACGUGAGUAACCUGCCCACAACUUUGGGAUAACGCUAGGAAACUGGUGCUAAUACUGGAUAUGUGCUCCUGCUGCAUGGUGGGGGUUGGAAAGCUCCGGCGGUUGGGGAUGGACUCGCGGCCUAUCAGCUUGUUGGUGGGGUAGUGGCCUACCAAGGCGGCGACGGGUAGCCGGCCUGAGAGGGUGACCGGCCACAUUGGGACUGAGAUACGGCCCAGACUCCUACGGGAGGCAGCAGUGGGGAAUAUUGCACAAUGGGCGCAAGCCUGAUGCAGCAACGCCGCGUGCGGGAUGACGGCCUUCGGGUUGUAAACCGCUUUCAGCAGGGACGAAGCUUUUUGUGACGGUACCUGCAGAAGAAGCACCGGCUAACUACGUG
rnacentral:rRNA from 1 species